rnacentral:rRNA from 1 species
UACGAAGGGGGCUAGCGUUGUUCGGAAUUACUGGGCGUAAAGCGUGCGCAGGCGGCUUCUCAAGUCAGGGGUGAAAGCCCAGAGCUCAACUCUGGAAUUGCCUUUGAGACUGAGUGGCUUGAGUACGAGAGAGGUGAGUGGAAUUCCCAGUGUAGAGGUGAAAUUCGUAGAUAUUGGGAAGAACACCGGUGGCGAAGGCGGCUCACUGGCUCGUAACUGACGCUCCAUGCACGACAGCGUGGGGAUCAAACAGG